rnacentral:snRNA from 1 species
AUGCAUGCUCACUUUAGCUGCACAUAUACUAAAACUGGAAAGAUAAAGAGAAGAUUAGCAUGGCCCCUGUACAAGGAUGUUAUACAAAUUUGUGAAGUGUUCCAUAGUUAA